rnacentral:tRNA from 1 species
AUUUAAAUAGUUUAUUAAAAAUAUUGAUUUGUGAUAUCAAAGAUGCAAUUUUUUUGUUUUAAGUA